AAUACGUGUUUAUUUUAAAUCAUAUUAUCCAAUUCCCAAAGUACUAAUUUUUUUUAAAUUUGAUUUACACUUUAAAGCAUAUGUCAGUAUUAAUUUAAGUGCGAUGAUCAGAAUCCAAAUUUACACUAAUUCCAAUUCAAUACAAUAAAUUAAGGCAAUACUGACAAACUAGAUAUCUUAAUAAAAUCAAAAUAAAAACAACUGUUAAAUUUGAAAAUCAUGUGAUUUUUUAAUGCACCACAGUCAUCAAUGCUCCAUGUGAAUAACCUGGGUAUGAAACAAGUACAUUUUGUACAAGUUAUAUUGUACUAAACUCUUGUGUAACCUUCGACACAACGUUACGCCAAACUCAUCAGCUGAACACGAUUUUCUUAAAGUGUGUUUUUUUGGCAUCAAAAACUCUCGUUAUUAAUUUGAGGUAAAUUAAUUCUUAGAUACAGAAGAAAAGGGAAAAGGUUAGACAAACGAUAGGUAAGCUGGUUCUGUAGUGCCGUUAUGUGGCAUGAUCAAACAGCUAGUGACGUAAAUAGUCUAACUCUUUUAACUUUAGUUUGUUUUAAAAUGAAAGCAACACUUCAAUACAGGACUAUAGAAUCGAAUUUUCCCAUCGCAAGCGAUAUGUUGCCAAAAUAACAGAAUAAAUAACCCUUCAAACUAUGAGAAUAUUUGCGAACAAAUAUUUUUGUAGUCAAUUUAUUUUUGAUCAGGCAACUUCAAAUCCUCAUGAUAAAACAAACCGAGAUUCUGCGAGAAAGAAAGAGUACGUCGCCGAAAUUAAAUUGGCUUUUGAACUAAAAGUUCAUCGAACAAUCAAAAUAGCUCCUAAUAUGCUAUAAACAUGCCGGCAAAUCAUAUCACGUACAUGAUUAAAGCUGCCAGCAAUAUCAAAUCACAACAUCUAAGUUCUAAUUGGGCUUCACUCGAUAUAAGCAAACCGGAAAUAAAAUUCCUCUACUUGAGAAACCCCAUCUUGCUUCGUCACACAGAGCUCAUCGAAAGAAAAAAAAAUCAGCAAAAAUGUAUACGCGAGAAAAGGUUAGGCAAAGAGGAGUAGACUCUUGGAGAAAUUGACCAGAUUUCCAAUUGCGCACACCACUAUCGAUAGAAACGGCCGAUUGUGGCGUACCACUAAAGAUAAACUUCUCAACUUUACUCAUCAAUGUUCAUAAAUCAACCAAAGUUAGACUGAUCCAGCGCCUCCGUACAGAUUAAUGAUGGAACCCACCCAACAACAGAGCGCCCGCUUCACUUUUCAUGGUGUUCUUUAAAGAUUCCAUAAAUUGUAAAAGACCGAAAUCAGGAACUAUUAAGUACAGUAUGGCCGUUGCGAUACUGGUGAAAACUUUUUGGUAAAUAUUAAUAUGUGAAUGACUUUAAUUGUUUGCAUAAUAUUAUUGUGAUCAUGAACGAUGCAAUUCAUGACGAAAUAGUAGUUUUGUCAUCAGAGCGGGUAGAAAUAUCGGAAUUUCUAUUUGAGGAAACGCCGUCUACCCAGAAUUCCUCUUACUCUAAACGAGUCGACGCAUCGGAACUGAGGCGGAGACGGAUCGCCCGGAUUGUCGGGGCCGUAGCGAUCUUCUUCAUCGUGUUCAGCUGUGUGUUGUUAGGAAUCUCAUUCAAUAUGUCCGAUGAUAUCAACGACAAAGUUCGGAAUUCUAAUAGCGUUCUACGGAAGCACAAUCUGCCUGUAAACCCACAGGAACACGUGACCAACGAAUCUUAUUUCAACUGACGACCUGGCGCCAAAUAUGUGUUCAUGAUUUGACGAUGUUUGACAAAUAUGCAACGAAUUGAAACGAAUCACUGCAGAGCCAAUUAUUGAUAGCUGAUGUGAAACGACGCGAACGGCCUGGGUGUGAGCUGAUCAGCUUUUCUUUCAGAUAGCAGUUUCAAGCGUGUGUUCGAUAAGAAAAGGCGUUUAUAAACCGAGCAUCAUUUGGAUCCACGGCAUUUGCAGUGAUCUACUUGUGCAUGGACCAAAUAUGCACAACGAUUUGAUUUGAUCUCGUGCUUUGUAAUUGUUUUGUUUUCUUUUGGUUGUUUUCCUUUGAAAAACUUAACCAAGAGUAAACUACCUUGUCUUUAUCAAUAGAGUAGAUUAAUUCGUGACAUUAAUGUUUGUAAAGGAAAAAUACAGUGUUCAACUUAACGUGAAAUGCUUUGCGUUAGCUCAGUCAAAGAGAGUUGAAAACAGCGUAGCAUUCUGCCCUUUUUGUUUUAUUAUAAAUUCAUUGAGGAUGCAAAAUAUAAUUUUUUAAGAAUCUAGUUCCAAUAAAUCUGUAGAGGUGUAAAAACUAAAAUACAUGUUUGUAAUAUAUUGAAUGUUUUAUUAAAACUAAAAAUGCUAGAUAUAUGGUAUUUAAAAAGAUUGUAUUAUUGUCGGUGACAGAAUGCAGAGAUUUUUAGUAUCUAAGGGAUUCAACAUUAAAGGGAAUUACAGAUCCAGUUGUGGCGGUUACGAAGAUGGGUGUACUUACUUUAAAUUGUACAUGGCCCAGAAAAUACCAGCAAGUAUAUUAUUUGAUGAAAUUGUUUAAAGAAAAACACUAGAGACCUCGAUAUAGAACCAAUCAUUCAAAGUAAAUUUUAACACUUUUUUGCAUCACGAAAUUCUUGUUUGUUUCUUCUAUUCUACAUGUGUUUACAUUGGUUAUUUUUAUCAAAGUUAUUCAGCAUGUGUUGAGUAAAUAAACUUUAUGCACGUUUUA